UGGAUCCAGACUUUGAUCCUGGCUCAGGAUGAACGCUAGCGACAGGCUUAACACAUGCAAGUCGAGGGGCAGCAUGAUUUGUAGCAAUACAGAUUGAUGGCGACCGGCGCACGGGUGAGUAACGCGUAUGCAACUUACCUAUCAGAGGGGGAUAGCCCGGCGAAAGUCGGAUUAAUACCCCAUAAAACAGGGGUCCCGCAUGGGAAUAUUUGUUAAAGAUUCAUCGCUGAUAGAUAGGCAUGCGUUCCAUUAGGCAGUUGGCGGGGUAACGGCCCACCAAACCGACGAUGGAUAGGGGUUCUGAGAGGAAGGUCCCCCACAUUGGUACUGAGACACGGACCAAACUCCUACGGGAGGCAGCAGUGAGGAAUAUUGGUCAAUGGCCGAGAGGCUGAACCAGCCAAGUCGCGUGAAGGAAGAAGGAUCUAUGGUUUGUAAACUUCUUUUAUAGGGGAAUAAAGUGGAGGACGUGUCCUUUUUUGUAUGUACCCUAUGAAUAAGCAUCGGCUAACUCCGUGCCAGCAGCCGCGGUAAUACGGAGGAUGCGAGCGUUAUCCGGAUUUAUUGGGUUUAAAGGGUGCGUAGGUGGUGAUUUAAGUCAGCGGUGAAAGUUUGUGGCUCAACCAUAAAAUUGCCGUUGAAACUGGGUUACUUGAGUGUGUUUGAGGUAGGCGGAAUGCGUGGUGUAGCGGUGAAAUGCAUAGAUAUCACGCAGAACUCCGAUUGCGAAGGCAGCUUACUAAACCAUAACUGACACUGAAGCACGAAAGCGUGGGGAUCAAACAGGAUUAGAUACCCUGGUAGUCCACGCAGUAAACGAUGAUUACUAGGAGUUUGCGAUACAAUGUAAGCUCUACAGCGAAAGCGUUAAGUAAUCCACCUGGGGAGUACGCCGGCAACGGUGCAACUCAAAGGAAUUGACGGA
rnacentral:rRNA from 2 species